rnacentral:rRNA from 1 species
GUGCUUACACAUGCAGUCGAACGGUAGCAGGCCUUCGGGCGCUGACGAGUGGCGGACGGGUGAGUAAUGCAUAGGAAUCUGCCCUGUAGUGGGGGACAACUUAGGGAAACUUAAGCUAAUACCGCAUACGCCCUUCGGGGGAAAGCGGGGGACCUUCGGGCCUCGCGCUAUAGGAUGAGCCUAUGUUGGAUUAGCUAGUUGGUAGGGUAAAGGCCUACCAAGGCUGCGAUCCAUAGCUGGUCUGAGAGGAUGAUCAGCCACACUGGGACUGAGACACGGCCCAGACUCCUACGGGAGGCAGCAGUGGGGAAUAUUGGACAAUGGGCGCAAGCCUGAUCCAGCAAUACCGCGUGUGUGAAGAAGGCCUGAGGGUUGUAAAGCACUUUCAAUGGGGAGGAAAAAGGUAGGUUUAAUACGUCUGCCCUUGACAUUACCUAUAGAAGAAGCACCGGCUAACUCCGUGCCAGCAGCCGCGGUAAUACGGAGGGUGCGAGCGUUAAUCGGAAUUACUGGGCGUAAAGCGUGCGUAGGCGGCCUGUUAAGUCAGAUGUGAAAGCCCUGGGCUCAACCUGGGAACGGCAUUUGAAACUGGCAAGCUAGAGUUAGGUAGAGGGGAGUGGAAUUUCAGGUGUAGCGGUGAAAUGCGUAGAUAUCUGAAGGAACACCAGUGGCGAAGGCGGCUCCCUGGACCCAAACUGACGCUGAGGUACGAAAGCGUGGGUAGCAAACAGGAUUAGAUACCCUGGUAGUCCACGCUGUAAACGAUGUCGACUAGCCGUUGGGCCCUUCUAGGGUUUAGUGGCGCAGCUAACGCAU